rnacentral:rRNA from 1 species
GACGAACGCUGGCGGUGUGCUUAACACAUGCAAGUCGAACGAUGAAGCCGGAGCUUGCUCUGGUGAAUUAGUGGCGAACGGGUGAGUAACACGUGAGUAACCUGCCCUUGACUCUGGGAUAACUGCGGGAAACUGUAGCUAAUACCGGAUACGACCCUCGGAGGCAUCUCCUGGGGGUGGAAAGAAUUUCGGUCAAGGAUGGACUCGCGGCCUAUCAGCUAGUUGGUGAGGUAAAGGCUCACCAAGGCGACGACGGGUAGCCGGCCUGAGAGGGUGAGCGGCCGCACUGGGACUGCGACACGGCCCAGACUCCUACGGGAGGCAGCAGUGGGGAAUAUUGCACAAUGGGCGCAAGCCUGAUGCAGCAACGCCGCGUGAGGGAUGACGGCCUUCGGGUUGUAAACCUCUUUUAGCAGGGAAGAAGCGAAAGUGACGGUACCUGCAGAAAAAGCACCGGCUAACUACGUGCCAGCCGCCGCCGUAA